rnacentral:miRNA from 1 species
UGGUGCAACAGGCCAGUGGUU